UCCCUAGUGGUCCAGUGAUUAGGACUCGACACUUUCACUGCCAAUGAUGUGGGUUCCAUCCCUAGUUGGGGAA
rnacentral:tRNA from 1 species